AUUCCUACGGGAGGCAGCAGUGGGGAAUUUUGGACAAUGGGCGAAAGCCUGAUCCAGCCAUGCCGCGUGAGUGAAGAAGGCCUUCGGGUUGUAAAGCUCUUUCGGUCGGGAAGAAAUAGUUGUGGCUAAUAUCCACAAUGAAUGACGGUACCGACAUAAGAAGCACCGGCUAACUACGUGCCAGCAGCCGCGGUAAUACGUAGGGUGCAAGCGUUAAUCGGAAUUAUUGGGCGUAAAGGGUGCGCAGGCGGUUGUAUAAGUCAGAUGUGAAAUCCCUGGGCUUAACCUAGGAAUUGCGUUUGAAACUAUAUGACUAGAGUGUGACAGAGGGGAGUGGAAUUCCAUGUGUAGCAGUGAAAUGCGUAGAGAUGUGGAAGAACACCGAUGGCGAAGGCAGCUCCCUGGGUUAACACUGACGCUCAUGCACGAAAGCGUGGGGAGCAAACAGGAUUAGAUACCCUGGUAGUCCACGCCCUAAACGAUGUCAACUAGUUGUCGGAUCUAUAUAAAGAUUAGGUAACGUAGCUAACGCGUGAAGUUGACCGCCUGGGAAGUACGGUCGCAAGAUUAAAACUCAAAGGAAUUGACGGGGACCCGCACAAGCGGUGGAUUAUGUGGAUUAAUUCGAUGCAACGCGAUCCAUAUGA
rnacentral:rRNA from 1 species